ensembl:lncRNA
UAUGACAAUAACGCCCUGAGUCGCUUCAUCUCAUUUCUAAAGUUAAAGGAUUUUCUUUCCAACAGGACCUAAAAGAGGCGGAGGACACACUGUUUUCCUUGCUCUAUCAGAUAAAAAAAAGAGCCAGAGGACCAAAAGAAGAAACAUGGGAAAGAAGUCUGCAUCUUUGUUCUGAUGAACCCUCGUAAACAGGAUGAAACCGCUCAGCAACUUCAUCACGUGUCUACCCUGCUUGAUUAACUGAUGAAUUAGCCUGUGCAGUCAGAUCAUCUUUAAACAUGUCUGACAACAUAAAUCCACAAACCUUGUCAGAGGCAGAGACACAGUUGACAGUGGAGCAAGGUGACAAGCACAUUGAGCAGAGUAAUCUUCUUCAAUCACCUACGAAACAGACAUUCAAGUCAGCUGCAAAUGGCACUACUGCCGUUAUACCAGAGUCAGGGGACGAGUUCUCCAGCUCCUCUCAUCAGUCCGUUUCAGAGAAAGGAACAAAGGUCGCUGGUCAAAAGGCUAAAAAUACUAAAAAAACUAAAAGAAAGACAAAUAUGGCAACCUUGGACAAGAAUGCUGAAGACCAGAUUGUGAACCAGAAUAGGCAACCCGACCUAAAAGGCCAGGACUCUGCGCAAACUACUGCUGUUGUUAAGGAUGUCUGUUUUGGUUCUCAAAAGACCGAGACCAUACGUUCCGGUGUUGACCCACCGGAAGUGGAGCCUAUGGAGAUUGAGCAGUCUACCGAUGGGAAAGGAGAUGCCUCCCUUUCACCAACAAGUCCAGAUUUUAAGAUGGAACCAAAGGACAACACAAUAGUUGGAUCUGAGACAGAGAGCAAAGGUGCCAGUGUUGACCGACACGUGGAGCCUAUGGAGGUUGAGCAGUCUGCCCAAGGGAAAGGAGAUGCCUCCCUUUCACCAACUAGUCCAGAUAUUAAGAGGGACAACACAAGUGAUGCCUCUGAAACUCCGGCUGGACCGCCGCCAGAAAGCACAGCCAUGGUUGGAUCAGAGACAGACAGCAUCCCCUCCAGUGUUGGCCUA